ACCUGCAGUUCUCGCCUGGUUUUCUCCUGAAGCUAAGCAGGGUUGAGCCUGGACAGUACCUGGAUGGGAGACCUCCUGGGGUAAACUAAGGUCGCUGCUGGAU
rnacentral:rRNA from 1 species